ACACGAGCGGCGAACGGGUGAGUAACACGUGAGCAACCUGCCCCUGACUCUGGGAUAAGCGGUGGAAACGCCGUCUAAUACCGGAUACGACCCGCCACCUCAUGGUGGAGGGUGGAAAGUUUUUCGGUCAGGGAUGGGCUCGCGGCCUAUCAGCUUGUUGGUGGGGUAACGGCCUACCAAGGCGAUUACGGGUAGCCGGCCUGAGAGGGCGACCGGCCACACUGGGACUGAGACACGGCCCAGACUCCUGCGGGAGGCAGCAGUGGGGAAUAUUGCGCAAUGGGCGAAAGCCUGACGCAGCGACGCCGCGUGGGGGAUGACGGCCUUCGGGUUGUAAACCUCUUUUACCACCAACGCAGGCUCCCAGUUCUCUGGGGGUUGACGGUAGGUGGGGAAUAAGGACCGGCUAACUACGUGCCAGCAGCCGCGGUAAUACGUAGGGUCCGAGCGUUGUCCGGAAUUAUUGGGCGUAAAGAGCUCGUAGGCGGCGUGUCGCGUCUGCUGUGAAAGACCGGGGCUUAACUCCGGUUCUGCAGUGGAUACGGGCAUGCUAGAGGUAGGUAGGGGAGACUGGAAUUCCUGGUGUAGCGGUGAAAUGCGCAGAUAUCAGGAGGAACACCGGUGGCGAAGGCGGGUCUCUGGGCCUUACCUGACGCUGAGGAGCGAAAGCAUGGGGAGCGAACAGGAUUAGAUACCCUGGUAGUCCAUGCCGUAAACGUUGGGCGCUAGGUGUGGGGACUUUCCACGGUUU
rnacentral:rRNA from 1 species